UACGGGGGGGGCAAGCGUUGUUCGGAAUUACUGGGCGUAAAGAGCUCGUAGGCGGUCUGUUACGUCUGCUGUGAAAACCCGGGGCUUAACCCUGGGCUUGCAGUGGAUACGGGCAGACUAGAGGCAGGUAGGGGAGAAUGGAAUUCCCGGUGUAGCGGUGAAAUGCGCAGAUAUCGGGAGGAACACCGGUGGCGAAGGCGGCAUCCUGGACCAUUACUGACACUGAAAAGCGAAAGCCAGGGGAGCAAACGGG
rnacentral:rRNA from 1 species